CCCGCUGAACUUAAGCAUAUCAAUAAGCGGAGGAAAAGAAACUAACAAGGAUUGCCCUAGUAACUGCGAGUGAAGCGGGAAGAGCUCAAAUUUUGAAUCUGGCGGCGUUUGGUCGUACGAGUUGUAAUCUAAAGAAGCGUCGUCCGCGCUGGACCGUGUACAAGUCUCCUGGAAGGUAGCGUCAUAGAGCAUGAGAACACAGUGUGUGACACGGACUUCCAGUGCUAUCUGAUAGCGCUCUAGUCGAGUUGAGUUGUUUGGGAAAGCAGCUCAAAAUGGCUGCUCAAUUCCAUCUAUAACUAUAUACAAGAGAGAGAUCGAUAGCGGACAAGUAUAGUGAGCGAGAGAUGAAAUGAACUUAGGAAAGAGAGUUAGACAGUAUAUGUAAAUUGCGUGAAAGGGAAACGCGAGAUGUCAGUCACGUCGGCUAGGGAUCAGCCUUGCUUCUCGCUGAGUGUAUUUCCUAGUGGACUGGUCAGCAUCAGUUUCGGUCUCUGUAUCAAGGGCAAAGGCAACGGCGCACUCCAUGGAGCGUGUUAUAGCCUUUCGUCAGUAUGCAGUGGUGUGCGACUGACGAUCUCGGCACGAAAUCUAUUCUGUGCCUAGGAUGCUGGCAUAAUGGCCGUCAGCGACCCGUCUUGAAACACGG
rnacentral:rRNA from 1 species